rnacentral:lncRNA from 12 species
UCCUGUGAGGGAAGAAAGGGAUGAAAGUGGGGGAGACAGCAUCUUUGUUUGUCCUCUGACUCAUAAAGCAUCCCCACUCCGCCCCCCCCCCCCCCCCCCCCCCCCCCCCGCCUGCCUGCUAUGACCAGGGAAAGACUGCUUCUGGGUGGACAGUGAGGCAGUAUCAGAUGGAUCAGGGAUCAGGAGCCAGGACUCUGCAUCGGGUGGAUAUAUCCUCUUGCCCAGGAAAAGACAUGGGGUUAUGUGACCAGAGAGACUGGACCUCUGUAGUGGCGUCCCCACCAGUGACAGAGCCACUGCAUUGCAGAGCUCCGGGGAGCAGCAUUGCCAUCGUAGCCUAUGUCAGUAUGCCCGGUGCACACCUCCAUCUGUGCAAUAGGGUACAACAAGAAGAUGCCCUUGGAGAUACUGAAACACAAGACACUUGGGAUAUAUCACUCUCUAGCCCAGAUUUCUCUACUAAGCGGUACUCUGGACCUGUCCACUUAGAUGUUCCACAUGACUGA